GAUGAACGCUGGCGGCGUGCCUAAUACAUGCAAGUCGAACGAUCAGACGAGGAGCUUGCUCCUCUUGCGUUAGCGGCGGACGGGUGAGUAACACGUGGAUAACCUACCUUUAAGACUGGGAUAACUUCGGGAAACCGGAGCUAAUACCGGAUAAUAUAUGGAACCGCAUGGUUCAAUAUUGAAAGGCGGUUUUGCUGCACCUUAUAGAUGAACUCGCGUGUAAUUAGCUAGUUGGUAGGGUAACGGCUUACCAAGGCACCGAUGAUUCGCCGACCUGAAGGGUGGACGGGCCAAACUGGAACUGAGACACGGUCCAGACUCCUACGGGAGGAAGCAGUGGGGAAUCUUGCGCAAUGGGCGAAAGCCUGACGGAGCAACGCCGCGUGGGUGAGGAAGGUCUUCGGAUCGUAAAAUUCUUUGAGUGGGGAGGAAGGGAGGGAGAAUUAAAAAUUCACGCCUUGACGGUACCUAAUCAGAAAGCCACGGCUAACUACGUG
rnacentral:rRNA from 1 species